CAUGUGGAACAGCUAGCCCAGCAGACAGGCACGGAGUCUGUCUCAGGUUCCUGCAGGGCUGCUGGUGGGAGCUGUCUAGAAAACAGAGAAAAUAGUGGGCUGGAGAAGAAGAGAAUGACAGCUAAAAGAAAAAUCCCAGAGCUCAUUUCCAGGUGGUUGAAAUCUGGAUUGGCAGUGAUCAUAAUGGAGUGCUGUGCAAGUUGCAAUGGAAGAUGGAGGCUUUGGGGGAGAAUAAAGUAGAGGGCUUCAUAGACUUCCAGACUAGAAGGGACCAUUAUGAUCAUCUAGUUUGACCUUCUAUAUAAUACAGGCCUUAAAUAAUUCCUUGAUCAAAUCUCUUUGGAAAACAUCCAUGAUGGAGACACUACCACAAACAUUGUAUGACCCAGCUCCUCCUAUUGCAAAGCCCUGCCGCUCAGAUAUGGCUCAACAGAGAAAAGCAACUCCUGUCAGGAGAUUGAGCCAAAAGAAACAGUUAAGGUUGUUAGGCCAGAAGUCAGAACUACAUACCGAAUCUUGCAGGCUCCCUGUUAUCAUU